UUAUCCAGCGAGGGUGGGGGUAUUCAGAAUGAGCAUAUAUAAAUAUAUUGACUACGAGAAUGUGGGAAAAGUUAAUCAAUUACAAAAAACACCAGAUUAUCAUACAUAGUGAGCAAUGCAUGAGAAUGAAAUAACGGUUCGUAAUUGUGUAGCCUAAUUUGUCGAGGAUUCUAAUAUUAUUAGUGAUCUUUAACCUUAAUUAUGCGGGGUUGUCUUGUUCACACGUCACUUAACUUUGCACGCGCUGUUACCGAUAGCAGUUUUCAGGAAAGAAAAAUGUUUAUUUAAAAAGUGCAGGUUAAAACAGUGCGUUUAAGGCGAUAAUGCAACUUGCAGUUGGUAGCUUUAAUUUCUGUAUUCGGAAUAGUUGCAGACAUGCUUUUUCGUGAUUUAUUCGCUCGACUGCACCCGCACAAUGAAAUUUGCCAAUGGGCGAAUGGAUAAUGUCGGAGCAACCCGAGGCCAUGAAUGAUAGCUGUACUUCUCAAGGACAGAAUAGAUAAGUAUCAAAGAAAUCGCAGUUAAGGAGGUAGUGGUGUUCGGUGCCAACCUGACCCGAAUUACAUAGCCUGCAGACUCUAUCUUCAAAUGGGGUUCCGUCGUAUCGGCCUGUCUCGACUGGAAACCAGUGGUUAGCAGUCCUGAAUUGGAAUAGGUCGCAACGUGGAUAUGCCGACAUCAAACAAACGCCAAAAGUGUUUCUGCUACUUCUGUGGAAAGAUUUUUAGUGCAGAAGCCAUAGUCUCGUUCCAUAUCAAAAACAUCCAUGAACAAACAACUCGCAACUCGCUUUGUCUGCGGUAAAAACAUGUAGCACAGUUUUAAACAUGAAAAGACAUCAACGCGUCGUCCACUUGAAAAAAGGGCCUCAUACGUGUUUUGUAUGCAACAAACAUUUGCUUGCAGGCAAGACAUUAACUAACAUAUGAGCAAGUCUCAUGGCAACGGAUACAAAUACAAGUGUGAAAAUUGGUGCAAGGAGUAUGCGUACAAACGAAGUACUGAACGACACGUGGCUGUGUGUGGCAGACACAAACCAGAAGUCAUAUGUGAAAAGUUCAAAGAGCAUGUUGGGAAUGAAAUGAGGCCAACGGGCUGUUUGAUUUUAUUUAUGUAACGACUACAUUGUAUGCAUGUUUUAAUUACGUUAAUUGCUUAAUAUGUUUUGCUUCAGUAUAUAUUUUAUAUGUAAUUAAAGACAAAUUGUUUGUUUUUGUUUUACUUUAAACUGCAUAAACUUUAUGCUAUUGAGAUAAAAAAAAUAUGCUUUAGAUUAAACUGUAUAACAUAUAUGAAAGUUUGCUCAAUAAUUUUAUUUCUUUCCCCUCUGAUAUUUGAUUAAAUUAUCAGUUAAUAAAUUUUAACGUACAUAUCAAAAUGCAAUUCAAGGUUGAAAUUUGACCACACUCGUAGUAAGUUUUUUUGUUUCCACUAACAUUGCCAAAACGUAGGGAAGGUAGGUCAGCGAAACUUUUUUCAUUUGACGUUGUUUACAUUUGCAAGAUAUUUUCAACUAAGCAAGUUCUUCUAAAUGUGUUUUCUGCUCCAAUUAGAAGUUAUAUUGGCACCAGAUUUGCAAAAUUAUCUUUAUAAUACCCAUAGCAAUUAGAUGUAAGAUUUAUCUUACUCUUAUAUAUUUUGUUUUACUUAAAACCGAUAUUUGAAGUUGAAAA